GUAAGAGUGUAAACUGCAGUUUUAAAUCCUCAUCGGUGCCUUAAAAAUGUCAAGAAAAAUUCUAUAAUGAAAAACUAUAAAAACUUUUA